rnacentral:misc_RNA from 1 species
AAACCGGAUUAUCGGGUCACCUGUUACUCUUUCUUCUUCCUUCUAAUUUACUAGGAGAGAGAAGAGGAAUCAGAACCGGAUUUCACCAGAUUCUUAUCAACCUUCGAAUCCUCCAUCAAUUUCAGCACUACAUAGAGAUUCAAAUUGGCUUCAAUUUCAUCUAAGUCGCCGACUUGAACUUUGAUCCAUCAGAAAUUUAAAGAAGAAGAAGAAAGUGCAAGGAACAAAAAUGGCUUUAGAGAGAUUUGAGGAGCAGGACUUUCUCGCAUGCUGUGGUAGCACCAAAUUCGCUAAAGAAAUGGUGUUGGCUUCCCCUUUUACUUCCCUUGAAGAAGCCAUCGCUGCAGCCAGAAACAUCUGGUUUAACAAGGUUGAUGUGAAUGGUUGGCUUGAAGCAUUCUCUUCUCAUCCUCAGAUUGGACAAUCCCCUUCUUCUGCCCACACUUCUCACACUGCUGCUCAAUGGAGUAAGGGAGAGCAGUCAACUGCUUUAGCAACUUCUACUGGUUCCAGCUUACAGGAACUUUCUGACUGGAAUGCCCAGUAUAGGCAAAAGUUUGGAUUUAUAUUUAUUAUAUGUGCAUCUGGACGGAGUACUGCUGAAAUACUUGCUGAAUUGAAGGUGAAGUUUGGAUUUUAGUUUGCAUUUCAAGUGCUGUUGUGUAAAAUCUUAGCUUCUCUUCUUAUGCACUAAACAACUGUAGUGCUGCUUGUUAAAGUAUGACAUUAGUGAGGCGUUAGUUUCUAAUCAAUAAUUUUAUGGAAGAUUAUUAGUGUCCAGAUUUAUUUCAAAAUCUUCCUUUGUAUUGUAGUGUCUGAGUUGUUUAAAUGUGUUCUAAAGUAACAGUAAAUCUUUCAUCUUUUCUGAAGACAUUUACACUACAGUUCCAUUUGAAAGAAAGUGUAUUUUACGAAUUACAGCUGGAAAAAUGCUUACUAAUAGCUGCGAAAAUAAAGAACCUUCACAAAUCAAUGAGGGGCUUUUCUGGUGAUUUUGGUAUUUAUUCUUUACUGUUCUCGCACUACACUAACAUGAGACUUAUUUUUCUACCACUUUUCUGUACUUUUUCCCCCAUUUGUUAUAUUUGAUCUCACUCCACCCUUUAUUAUCUUUCUUUCUCCUCCUUCUCUUUUUCUUUAUUUUGUCUCCUUCUAUGUUGAAUUUUUUGAACAAGUGCUUUGUGAGUGAGACUCGCUCAGAACUGUAAGUGAUUCUUUACUUUGUUUUGUUCAGAAACGGUACCAAAACAGGCCCAUAGUUGAGUUUGAAAUUGCAGCUCAAGAGCAAAUGAAAGUAACAGAGCUCCGCCUUGGAAAGCUCUUCUCAACCAAAACUAAACCUGCUUCCUCUGGUAAGCAACAUCCCACAGUUUUAGCGACAAAAGUAGAAGGUAACUCUCUAUUUUAUUUUUAUUAAAUAUUUUAGUUUGUGUGUUGGGUUGGGGGGGGGGGGGGUAGGAGAGAGGGGAGGAAUAGGAUGUGGAUUUUCAUUUUAUGGAAUUUCCUUGAUCUUGUUUGUUGCGAACAAUAUUAUGUAUUUUUUUUUUUUGUGUUCCUGCUCUUGCUUGUUCAAUUCCUGUUUGGAGAGUCUUGGUUUGUAAUCCCUUCUUAACAUCUUUUAAAUAUGCCUUUGCAAUUGACAUUUUGUAUGGAUUGUGAAUCCCUUUUUGCAUUUUGGUCAUUACUUGAGUUUGUGUUAUACUUUGGCAAUUCAUUAACUAACGCCUCAAGAUGAAAGUAAAUAAAAUUGAGGUCCUUAGGGAUGAAUACAAUGUGAAUACGGGAUAUUCUGUGGAUAUUCCUGCAACCCCUGUCGGCAACAGCCUAAAUUUUCAAGUAAAUCUGGAUUGGGUUAAAAAAAAAAAAAAGAACUGGUCUAGAAAAAAGAUGAGGAGAAAAAAGAAGUGCUUUUAAUCUCUCACGUAUUGUAAUAUAUUUCUGCAACUUCCUAGUCAUGCUGGCUUUUGAUUUUUCUCCAUUUGUGAAUUUCUUCUCCAAAGAACAGAUUACUUGUCUGUUUCUAUGGACAUUGCUAUAGUUUCAAUUACUGAUGUUUGAUCAUUUUUUGAGAUUUAGAAGAUCGUGUGGCUGUUGUUGGAGGACAUUUAAAGGCUGCUCCUAAUCCUUCAUCUGAUAAGGCAUCUCAAGUUCCAACUCGAACCCGUCCACCCAUUACAACUCAUGUCUUAGAUGUUUCUCGGGGUUGUCCAGCCACUGGUGUUGAGGUGCGUUUGGAGAUGUGGAAGGGCAGUCAACCCCGUCCCUUGUUUGAUAAGACAGAUAUUGGCGGUUGGAUAUUUCAGGGGUCUUCGAUUACAGAUGUGGAUGGGCGAAGUGGUCAAUUGAUGAGCAUUGUUAAUGAUGUGAACCCUGGAAUAUACAGAAUAAGUUUCAACACAGGCAAGUACUGUCCAUCUGGGUUCUUUCCAUAUGUUUCUAUUGUGUUUGAAAUCAAAGAAUCACAGAACAGGGAACAUUUUCAUGUUCCUCUGCUGCUUUCACCAUUCUCAUUCAGUACAUACCGUGGCAGCUAGAGCCUUGGUAUGUCAGUUGACAAACCAUGUUUUUUUAGAUGAAACUUUUCCAUUGCGAAUGUAGUAAAUACUCUUAUCAACUUACGUUGUAAAAAGUUUAGCAAUAAUAGUUGAUGCUUGUUCUCUGCC